GAUGAACGCUGGCGGCGUGCUUAACACAUGCAAGUCGAACGAUUAAAGCCCCUUCGGGGGUGUAUAGAGUGGCGAACGGGUGAGUAACACGUGGGCAACCUGCCCUGCGCUUCGGGAUAACUCACGGAAACGUGAGCUAACACCGGAUACUCCGGUCUGACCGCAUGGUCGGAUCGGGAAAGUUCCGGCGGCGCAGGAUGGGCCCGCGGCCCAUUAGCUAGUUGGUGAGGUAACGGCCCACCAAGGCGACGAUGGGUAGCCGAGCGGAGAGGCUGAUGGGCCACGCUGGGACUGAGACACGGCACAGACUCCUACGGGAGGCAGCAGUGGGGAAUUUUGCGAAAUGGGCGAAAGCCUGACGCAGCAACGCCGCGUGCGGGAUGAAGGCCUUCGGGUUGUAAACCGCUUUCAGCAGGGAUGAAACUGACAGUACCUGCAGAAGAAGCCCCGGCUAACUACGUGCCAGCAGCCGCGGUAAAAC
rnacentral:rRNA from 1 species